GCUGGCAUGAGCCUGCCCUACCAGGCAGGCCCUGGAGGGGUUGACCCUCAUGGCAGAGGACUAUUGGACUGACACUGAUCUAAAGUUGUUAGCUACCUCUUAGAUGUCAAUCCCAGCGUCUUUCCUCAGCUCCUCCAGCGCUGGGUCUCUUAGGCAAGCAUCAGUCACUGUCUGUCACUCCUCUUCAGUCGCUCCCCUCUCUAUGCAAACUGUUUCCAAUUUUCCUUCAGCUUUCCUGGUCAUUUUCUCCUUCCUUUCUUGCUCCCCCCUUCCCUCUCCCAACUCCUCUUUCCUCUUGAAAAAUUCAAUUCAUCUGCUGUCCUGCGGCUGCUUAUUUUGUGCUAAAUUCUAUAGCAAGAGCUGGGAGUAUAAAAGCCACGGCCCUGGCUUUUGAGGGGCUGAAGUUCAAAGAAAAACCAUCAGCGAAAGAACACGAUACAAUACGAGGAGCGCUGUCAUGACUUGGAUACCCGUGGUCUAAAGGAAGCACAGGGGGACGAAUGCUAACCCUCCUCGCAAGUUGCCACGCCUCCUGGCUGACUCAGCACAUCAUCUCCUGCCUUGAUGACCCACUGCCUCCAGGCUGGACCCUUUCUCAAAGAUUAUCUCUGACUCCAGAAUGAAGCAGAAAGAAUUCUUGGUUGGCCCACAAUGUCUUGAGUGAUCUGGCCUGAGAGUAUCUGGUUAUCUUUCCCUUUCACCCCCAACUUCAAUGCCUUUGACUCAGUGCCUCUGUGCCCCUGUGUAUGCUGGACACAUACACCAGGCUCCUGUCUCAUUUGUUCCAAACCUUUCCCCUAUCUCCUUCCCUCUGCUUUUCAUCCUCUCUGUGCUCUGGAUGUAUUUGCGUUAUCAAAGCUGUAAUGCUGAUGAAUUUAGGCAUCAGGGUCUCCUCGCUCAUCCUUGGAGAUGAGCUCCUUGUUGACAAGACCUGGCCUUUGUAUGUUGAGAUUCUAAUCCUGAUGCCUAGUGCCUAGGAAUUGUAUAGUCUCCAAAACUGGACAGAGCAUCUCUAAAGUACUGGAGGACAAUGAGGAGAUGGGACUGAACUGGGACAGCCGAGGGGUCCCAUUGUCUUCUGCAAGGAGGGGGAACAGGCCACUUUUUGCAACUGAAUAACUGCUUUUCAAAAAAGCCAGCAUCAGCCGGGCGUUGGUGGCGCACGUCUUUAAUCCCAACACUCAGGAAGCAGAGGCAGGCGGAUCUCUGUGAGUUCGAGGACAGCCUGGUCUCCAGAGCAAGUGCCAGGAUAGGCUUCAAAGCUACACAGAGAAACCCUGUCUUGAAAAAACAAAAAAAAAAAGAAGAAGCCAGCAUCAUAGAAAACCAAAUGUCCCACCAUGGACUUACAGCACGAACAGUGAGUUUUCCAAGGCCCAGACUGGACAUUAGUUUUAGUGGGAAAAGAAAGAAUCCCUGAUGAGUUUCAAGACAGAAGACUAGGGCUUGAGCCUGCCCUCUAGAAUGUAUUGAGAGUCUUAAUUUCCGACGAUAUUGGGUCAGGUUGGAUGCCACCAACACCCAGUUUCUGCAGCUUGGAGCCCAGGAAUGAAAAGUGUUGCUCACCUCCUCCUGGGGUUGCUCUGAGGUGAUGUGUAGAGGUGCCUUCACAGUGCUAAAGGGAUACCACACCCCUUUGCUCAGGGCUUGCCUGGCAAUGAGUAUUCCCUGAAGACGCCUCUUUUCGCCAUUGCCUUGCUUUUCUGCCAGAGUCGUCAAGCUUAGCACCAAGCAGCUGGAACCUUCCACUGAGAAGGGAGGCACCACUUAGACAUCCAGACAUGCAGUUUUUAAACACGGGGAAUAUGGAGGAAAUAUCACAGAACUUAUGUGAGGGAAAGCUUUAACAAGAAACACAGACUUAGGUCAAAACAGUUGACUCAGCUUUGGGAAAUGUCUGCCUCAGGGCAGGAGGGAAGAGAGAUAGACUCAGAAGGUGGAAACAAGAGAAAGGCUCAUUGGGGUAGCCCACUUGGUGAUCUCAGUGGACCUCUUCACACACAGUUCUAGGGAUUAGGGACAGGAAGUCAUGCUGCUUGAACAUAGGGUGACACUCCCCAGUAGUUUUUGCACCCAGCAAUCUCAUUUCUAAGAGCACAUUUGAAGUCAAGAAAGCUGAAAACAGCAUAAACACCAUUCAAUAGAGGAUUGGCUGGCUUAUUGACUCCCAACAUAUCCACACAGAGAAGAGCAAUGGUUGAUACCUUUCUUUGGAUAUGGAAGUGACCUACAUCACUGCAGAUAAAAUGGUAUGGAUGUAUGGAAUUUUUUUCCCACAUGAGAAAAUGUAUUGAUGCAUUGGGGGUUGUGCUUUAGUCUGUCAACAGAGUGUCUCUGCAUUGCUUCACAAACUUCAGAACUGUAAUAAAUCC
ensembl:lncRNA